GAUGCUCCUGUGGUGAUAUUUUGUUCCUGCUCUAACAAAUAAAGCUCGCCUGAAGAUCAGACGGUGGAUGCAGUCACUAGUUAACCAGGCAGUGAUGGCACACACCUUUGAUCCCAACACUUGGGAGGCACAUGCCUUUAAUCCCAGCAUUUGGGAGGUGGAGAUGGGAAUAAAAAGCAGGCAGACAGGAUCUAUGGCCCAUUCAGUCUGCGGAUUCAUACAGACAGGCGCUCGGUCCUUUUGGAACUGAGGAUUUCAUAGAGGACAUCAGAGAGUUCAAAGAGACUAUAGCAAUGUGGUGUCUCAUAUGUGAGCUGAAUUGGAAAAAAAAUUCUCAGAUGCUACCCUGAAGAGAAUUGUUCAAAUAUUUAAGGGCUUUCUUCAAAAACUAAAACCAGAGUCAUUGCUGGACACUGCUGAGGAAAACUUUGAUACAUUGUAAUGGUUAUAUCAUAGUCAUAUACCUGUGAUGCAAUCCCCAAGGGAUAGAAUGUCACAUGAAGCAACAACACAAGAGGGACACCAGCAUGGAGAGGGGUUUGUCAAUCAGAAGAACACUGUGGCGUUCUGAAGUCAGGACAGACUGUCCAGAAACAUUGAGAAAGAAACAUGAUACAUAGUACCUGAUGGAUUCACACAUUAGAAGGACACUAUCAACUGCAAAAAGCAGCCUAGCCAAACAGGUAGGGAAAAUGAAACAGUUUUCCAGGUGAACCUUGAAAUUAUUUAGAGCCAGUACCAUUUUAAAUAUUUGAUUUUAUUAAGGAAUUAAGAGACCUGCCUUUGUGUGGCAUUUACAUUGCAUUUACUAUAAAUGUGUAGAUAAAGCACAUUUACUUGCCUGUGACAGAGAAAAUCUUCACUUUUUUCUUUUUUGCUAUAAAAACACUUUUUAAAAUGCAUUUUAAAAAUGAUGUGCACAUAUGUGUUUCUGUGUGUGCAUAUGUCACACGUGUUCCCAUGGAGGCCAGAAGAGGACUCCAGAUCAUUUGGAGUUGGAGUUACAGAGGGUUGUAGGUACCCAUGGCAGACACUGAAAAUACAUUUCCAGUCUUUUCUCAGAAAGAGCACUGUGCACUCAUGGACAUUGGGUCAUCUCUCCAGAUUUCUACAUUCUUUCUUCAAAACAAAGCUGUUAUUUUCUUUCUUGGAUGUGGGAAGAAAAACAGCAGUUCAAAAUUCUGUUCCCUUUCUGAAGACCUGCAGGAAAGUGCAUGCCUUAUCUCUGCAUGGAAGUGACUUUCCUAAAGAAACUCUACAUGCUAUGACCUCCAAAGAUGAAGGAUGUGUUCAGGCUAAAUGAAGUGUCCACCAAGACUAUUUCAGAAACAAGUUGUGGGGACAAUAUUGUUGGCUCCAAAGCCAAAAUCAUAAAUUUGGGUAACUUAGUAAACUUUAAAUCUGAGUAAUUCA